rnacentral:rRNA from 1 species
UACAGAGGUGGCAAGCGUUGUUCGGAUUUACUGGGCGUAAAGCGUGUGUAGGCGGCUUGGCAAGUUGGAUGUGAAAGCCCACGGCUCAACCGUGGAAGCGCAUCCAAAACUGCUUCGCUCGAGUCUCGGAGAGGAAGGUGGAAUGCUUGGUGUAGAGGUGAAAUUCGUAGAUAUCAAGCAGAACACCUGCGGCGAAGGCGGCCUUCUGGACGAUGACUGACGCUGAGACACGAAAGCGUGGGGAGCAAACAGG